CUACGGGACGCUCCAGUGAGGAAUAUUGCGCAAUGGGGGGAACCCUGAUGCAGCAACGCCGCGUGGAGGAUGACGCAUUUCGGUGUGUAAACUCCUUUUAUAUGUCAAGAAAAUGACGGUAGCAUAUGAAUAAGCACCGGCUAACUCCGUGUCAGCAGCCGCGGUAAUACGGAGGGUGCAAGCGUUACUCGGAAUCACUGGGCGUAAAGGACGCGUAGGCGGGUUGGAAAGUCAGGUGUGAAAUCCUACAGCUUAACUGUAGAACUGCACUUGAAACUUCUAAUCUAGAGUAUGGGAGGGGGAGAUGGAAUUAGUGGUGUAGGGGUAAAAUCCGUAGAGAUCACUAGGAAUACCUAAAGCGAAGGCGAUCUCCUGGAACAUUACUGACGCUAAGACGUGAAAGCGUGGGGAGCAAACAGGAUUAGAUACCCCCGUAGUC
rnacentral:rRNA from 1 species